GACGAACGCUGGCGGCGUGCUUAACACAUGCAAGUGGAGCGACGAACCGGGGCUUGCCCCGGGGCAGAGCCGCGAACGGGUGAGUAACACGUGGGUAACCCACCCCGAUGACCGGGACAACCCGAGGAAACUCGGGCUAAUACCGGAUGUGCUCCUUGACCUCGAGGUCAAGGCGUAAAGAUAGCUUCGGCCUUCGCAUCGGGACGGGCCCGCGGCCCAUUAGCUUGUUGGUGGGGUAAAGGCCUACCAAGGCGACGANGGGUAGCUGGUCUGAGAGGACGAUCAGCCACACUGGGAC
rnacentral:rRNA from 1 species